rnacentral:pre_miRNA from 1 species
AGGUAUGGCUUGAUCCAAAGCUCACUGAAGUCAAUGCGAGAAAUUUCCAUUGACUUCAAUGGCCUUUGGAUCAGGCUCAAAAUCU